rnacentral:rRNA from 1 species
GUGUAUAGCCAUAUCAGGCUGAGAGCACCGGUUCUCGUCCGAUCACCGAAGUUAAGCAACG